rnacentral:rRNA from 1 species
UAGGGAAUCUUCGGCAAUGGACGAAAGCCUGACCGAGCAACGCCGCGCGAGUGAAGAAGGUUUUCGGAUCGUAAAACUCUGUUGUUAGAGAAGAACAAGGACGUUAGUAACUGAACGUCCCCUGACGGUAUCUAACCAGAAAGCCACGGCUAACUACGUGCCAGCAGCCGCGGUAAUACGUACGUGGCAAGCGUUGUCCGGAUUUAUUGGGCGUAAAGCGAGCGCAGGCGGUUUCUUAAGUCUGAUGUGAAAGCCCCCGGCUCAACCGGGGAGGGUCAUUGGAAACUGGGAGACUUGAGUGCAGAAGAGGAGAGUGGAAUUCCAUGUGUAGCGGUGAAAUGCGUAGAUAUAUGGAGGAACACCAGUAGCGAAGGCGGCUCUCUGGUCUGUAACUGACGCUGAGGCUCGAAAGCGUGGGGAGCAAACAGG